CAUAGUGGGACCCAAAGGUUCAUGGUGGGACCCAAAGGUUUAUGGUGAGACCCAAAGGUUCAUAAUGGGACCCAAAGGUUCAUGGUGGGACCCAAAGGUUCAUGGUGAGACCCAAAGGUUCAUGGUGAGACCCAAAGGUUCUCAACCCAACCCAAGGUCUUCCGUGCUUCCAUGAUUCCGUGUCCUCACCCUACGCGUGCC